UGAUUUUUGCCGCCGGGUAAAAAUGCUUUCACAAACAUUCGUAUUUCAUACCAUUAGGCCAUUGAAGGUAUGAAAAUUCGAAUGUUUUUUUAU
rnacentral:ncRNA from 1 species